GCCAGGUGUGGUGGUGCACACCUGUGGUCCCAGCUACUUGGGAGGCUGAGGUGGGAGGAUCACUUGAGCCCAGGAGGUAGAGGCUACAGUGAGCUCUGAUCACACCAUUGCACUCCAGCCUGGGCAACAGAGUGAGACUCCAUCUCCA
ensembl:misc_RNA Metazoa_SRP Metazoan signal recognition particle RNA